UACGGAGGGUGCAAGCGUUAAUCGGAAUUACUGGGCGUAAAGCGUGCGUAGGCGGUUCGUUAAGUCUGCUGUGAAAGCCCCGGGCUCAACCUGGGAAUUGCAUUCGAGACUGAAUAGCUAGGGUACGGUAGAGGGAAGCGGAAUUUCCGGUGUAGCGGUGAAAUGCGUAGAUAUCGGAAGGAACAUCAGUGGCGAAAGCGGCUUCCUGGACCAGUACCGACGUCAGACACGAAAGCGUGGGGAGCAAACAGG
rnacentral:rRNA from 1 species